rnacentral:lncRNA from 1 species
GCGAAGGUAGUUCCACCCUUAAUUUGGUGGGCAUAAUUGAAUCCACUUCCAUUGAAUAUAAAGCAGGCAGAAAAACAUGGAAAAUUGAGACAGGCUAGUCUCCCAGCCUCCAUCUUUCUCCUGUGCUAGAUGCUUCCUGCCCUCAAACACUGGAGUCCAUGUUCUUCAUUUUGGGACUUGGACUGGCUCUCCUUGAUCCUCAACUUACCGAAAGCCUCUUAUGGGACCUUGUGAUCAUCUCAUACCACUGAAAAGGACUAAAAGCAAUGUCUAAAUCAGAAGCAGUGAUUCCAAGUACCCAGACAAAGGGCAGCACGCAGAGACUGUCAGUAUUGUGUGGCCUUGUACUUCAGCAGGUUGGCAGAAUGUUCUUAUCAAGCUGUGUAAAGUAG